CUCGCAUUCCAUUCUAAGAUCUCCUGCGUUGAAAAAUUGGGGCGUGCUUCUCUGUGACCGGAUACGUGCCUUAGACAUUGCUAUUCAGAUCCGGCAACCCUGGUGAAGUCUUGGCCAAGCAAACUCUCCCGUUUUGGAUAUGGCCAAUGGGACGAAUUUAAGAAGUGAGGGGUAGCAGCGACGUAGAACCUGGAGCUAUCACUGCUUCCCUAGGUUCGUUGUGGACGCUAGGCGUUCGCAUUUAGAGUGUUGAGCGGGAUUUCGGCACGACGAUGGGGUUGUAGCAACGUACAAACCUCUGUGCCUUGUAAGCAUACGUCUGACAAAGACUGGGUUGCAUCUGUGGGCCACCGAUAGCGACGAAUGCGAGAGAGAUCGGUUAUUUUAGAAGGAAAAAUAAGGGAGGUGUUCAUCCAUCCUGUAUGUCUUGGUGCACGUGCCUGGCAUCGAAGGACCUUCUGUAGAUCUCGCCACUUAUUCAGUGGAGAUGUACACUGUGAAGGAACGUGAGAUGCCAUUACUUCUGCUCGAGGACAAUGCGCAUGGCCGCUAAGUUGUGGCCAAAAUACGGCAGGGUGCAUGGACAAAUGAGACUCAACUUGUCGGGAUUGAGAUUCCUUCAACCUGCACAUUUGCCCUAUUUUCCCUCGAGACGGGAAUCCGUGUAUGCGAUGCCGCAUAUGUUGACCUCAAUGGAAUAUUUUGGGUAAUGAAUUCUUAUCCUCGAGACUCGAGAAUUUCAUCUGUAGCUGGCUCAUGAGUGUGUCACGAUUCACAAUACCGCCAAUUUUGAAUCGGUGAACCCUAGCCGUUCCCUGCAUGAUCUCCGCAAUUUGUUUGAAAAACGACGUGCUGGAUUGACAGGAUUACAGAAUUUUGCGCAGGUUGCAUGUAUUUUUUGGGAAUUUGUCAGUGUUGAUAACAGCACUAGGAGAUGCAUCGAAGCCCUUCCUCCCUAUAUCUAAAACUUUCAUUAAUAGGUUUUUUCUGCACCUUAGAACCAGGACACGGGAUGCCAAGAUGCUAAGCUGCUGCGCUGGUUCUUCACACCGUGCCCAGAAAAGGUCUUAUCUACCUAAUGCAAUACCAGUCAGCGAGAUCACACUCUGGUCGUAAGGAUGGUGCAGUCGGACCCUACUUCAUCGGGUUUGUCAAAUAGAUACUUGUCGGGGAUUAGAGUACUCUCUUGUCGUCGGAGCAAUGUUCAGAAAUUAAUCUGUGGUUUCUUACGCCAUUUGACGAGUUCCAUCAUCUAUAGUUCGCAACUUUAACGUGACUGGGGGUAGACGCAUAUAAGCCCACUGUCGCCGAUUUCUGAGAGAAUUAGGAGAGGUAUUUGCAGUUUGAUGCAACUGUAGGGCAUAGUGCGAUCUUUUGUGGUAGUGGCUGAGGCGUUGUGCAGGUUUUUAGAAGAGGUCGGAAACAAAGAGGAGCUCAAAGCGGGGAAUCAACGCACAGCAAGUGUGUUGGUUCUGAUUGAUUCAGGUAUGGUGGGAACCAGGAGAGUAGAGGGAUCUUCUCAAGCAACUCACACUGAAAUCUCGCCGCUGGAGAGUCUGUUGCAGCGAGCAUGGCUUCAGACUCACAAAUCGAAAGGAUCAAGGCGUUUGUCGUCGGCUCCGCUACCUGAUGUGGCAGAUGAGAAGCGAGGUUUUUCACGAAUUGCAUCUUUGCCAGCGUUCUCAGGAACUCGUUUUCCUCGAUCAGAUGAUCAGGAAGAGUCGGACAAAGUUUACUUUCACAAGUCUAGGCUGGAUGCUUCAACAGUCCUCGUAUCAAGGUUUUCACUUCCCGAAUUGACAAGUUACUCUUCAAAGACGUAUGUUCCACUUUCAGUUUCCCUGGUGCAAUGGACACACUCAGAGCCAGUCGCUGGCCACGGCCUCUCACAAGCAUUGAAGCCCCUGACGAAAUCCUCCACAGAGUCGAGUGAAACUCUGUCAGGCCAGAGCAGACAUUCACUUGGCGCCACAGAAUCUGAAGUCAGUAGCACAAGUUCAGUCGACUUUGAAAGACAGGCACAGCCUAUGGCUAGCUUUCUGGGCGGCAUCCUCACGGACGAAAACCUGGAAGAAGAAAAUCUCCACGAGACUCGUGCUUACCAGGCUAUUGCGAAGGAAAUUGCUGACCUUAUUGGUUUAAAUUCUUCAGUCGAAACUGAGACAUCUGAUAUUGUAGAUUACGAGAGUUGCUGGGCGGAUGCUGAACCCUAUCGUACCGAGGCAGAAAUGCAUAUACUUGAACAGAGUGGCGCUUAUCAAGCUAUGGUGAAGGAAAUUGCUGAACUCAUUUCUCCGCAUCCUGCAGUGAUUGAUACUGAUGAAACUGAUCUUUCGGAUGGCAAGGCCAGCGAUAGUGCCGAUUUCAGACCUACUGAGGAACUCGCGGCUCGGGGGAUGAUGGAGGCCUAUUCCCAUAUACUCACCAGGCACUUAGAGGAUGUGGCUAUUAAUUCUGAUUCCGAUGCAGCUUCCACGAUCAAGUAUAGGACCACUGAAACAGAUACUAUUGUAACUUACUUCAAUGAAGACUGGAAAUUAUACUUGCAAAACCUCAAUCAAAACUUUACUCCCACCUCAAAUUUCGACUUCAACCUGCUUCUCUGUGGCGCAGUUGAAGGGUCAAAAGUUUCAGCGGAUAAUGCUGUCCCUUCCUCCAGUAGCGGUAGUCUGACGGAACUUCUCUACCGGUGUGCGCUCGCAGUGAGUCAGGGCAACGUACGAGAAGCAACUGAUUUGUUAUCUGACCUGCGGCAGAUUUCGUCGCCCAAUGGAAAUGCUACUCAACGCAUGGCACACUAUUUCAUGGAAGCUCUGGUCGCGAAAUUGUCAGGUACUGGUGAAGAGCUAUACAGGGUAAUCAUCAACAACGGCCCUUCUGCUGCGAUUGUGUUCAAAGCUAUUCGCCUAUAUCUCGAGAACUGUCCUUAUUUAAUCUUUGCCCACUUCUUCACAGUAAAAUCAAUAGUAGAUGUUUUUGAAGGCGCUGCCCGUGUUCAUUUGAUAUGCUACGGAAUUCAGUAUGGAGUGGAAUUGCCGAGUCUAAUUCAAUACUUAUCACAAAGGCCGGAAGGAGCACCCCACCUUCGUAUAACAGGUAUUGAUUCACCACAUCCAGGGAACAAUCCUUGCUUGAAAAUAAAUGAAACAGGGCGUAGACUGGCAAUGUUUGCGAAGAAGUGGGGGGUGCCAUUUGAAUAUGUUGCUCUAGCUGGAAGCUGGGAAUCAUUCACAGCUAGAGAUAUGAAUUUGAGGGAAGAUGAAGUGCUUGCAGUGUCAUCACAAGAUUCACUGCACACCCUUCCUGAUGAGUCGGUGAUGGCCACAAGUCCUCGUGAACUUGUAUUUAGAAGGAUCCGAAGUAUGAAUCCCAAGCUGUUCGUUAUGGUGGGAAUGCAUGGAGGCCAUAAUGCUCCAUUUUUCAUGACCCGCUUCCGGGAGAGUGUCAAGCAUUACUCGGCCAUAUAUGAAGGGUUGGACAUAUCUAUGCCUCGUGAUGAUCCGGAUAGAGUCAUCGUUGAAAGAGAAAUUUUCGGUUCGCAGAUUUUAAAUAUUGUUGCGUGUGAAGGACAAGCGAGAGUGGAACGGGCAGAACCAUACCGGCAGUGGCAGAACCGAUUCCAACGAGCAGGGUUCACUCAGUUGCCGAUCUUGGACACAGUUUUCAAUAAAAUGAAAGCCAUGAUGGGUGCUUUUCACAAAGAUUAUGGUGUCGGUAGGGAUGAUGGUUGGUUUCUGAUGGGAAUCCGGAACCAGAUCGUCAAGUUUUGUUCAGCUUGGGAGCCUAAGUGCCCUUAAAACUAUCCUCCAGAUAUCGAGAUUACCAUUUUUUAACCCAAAUUUUCGGAAUUUCACGAGGAAGGACGAAUUUUAAAAUAUGUGUGAGCCCUCAGCCUAUUCUUAUUCUUGAGCAAGCUAUGGAUUCAAAAAGGAUAACUGGCAGGGAACAGUCUACUUGUCCUGUCUCCUGAGAAUGUCAAGUAUGAGGCUCAUCAAUCAGCUUGGUACGCAUCCCCUUAAAGGCAAUUCGAUCUUCGUCUGUCAUAAGCCCUGACAGCUUGAUUAAUCUUGUGAAGCUUACUUCGCAGUUCCAGAAAGGUAAGGCACUGCUCUCGGCAUCGAAGGAUGAAGGAUCAAGUCUUUGCACAUAUCAGCCAUGUGUUUGUUCGGUAUCUCUUCAUUUUCAUCGUGGAUUCCACUUCGACAGUGGUGUUCCCCUGCACCUUCGGAGCUCGUAUAAUCUGGUGGCCUGGCCAGUCUGGUAGAUUUAGUGGGCGUGUUGCAAGAGCUAGGAAAGCUGCAGCUAAGUAUGUUGACCACUGGACUUGGUCCAAACAUAAUGCUGAUCACUGUUCCACAUCUGGGCAGUUGUAUCUCAACCAAUGUGCCGUGUUUCAUUUCCUGCUGACUUUUGUGGACCGGUCUUCGUCACUCCUUAUCCUAGUUUUGCUUCAUCUGAAGAUAGGCUACUGGGUUAGAAUACCGACUCGCAGGAUUCCUUCAUCUUGUAGCGACAUCUUGCAGUGAGCUCUUUAACAGAAUCCGUGAUGUGGUCAGUGUGGAUUGUGGGAGAUUAUAACGAUUAAACAUUGAAACCUAUAUGAGAAAUUCUAAAAAGAGGAAUCGUUUUGCCUCUGGGAUUGA